rnacentral:rRNA from 1 species
UACGUAGGGUGCGAGCGUUAAUCGGAAUUACUGGGCGUAAAGCGUGCGCAGGCGGUUUUGUAAGCCAGAUGUGAAAGCCCCGGGCUUAACCUGGGAAUGGCAUUUGGGACUGCAAGGCUGGAGUUUGGCAGAGGAGACUGGAAUUCCUGGUGUAGCAGUGAAAUGCGUAGAUAUCAGGAGGAAUACCGAUGGCGAAGGCAGGUCUCUGGGCUAUAACUGACGCUCAUGCACGAAAGCGUGGGGAGCGAACAGG